rnacentral:SRP_RNA from 1 species
AGCUGUGACGGCCUUUGGCCGGAAGGGACAUUAGCAAUCCCGGCUUGGUGAGGCGCUCCCGCGUUCGAACCUGCGGCCGGGCAUGGUUGCGGAAAAGCGAGGUUGCCUAGCUCCUCGUGCGCCAUGAUACCACACUGGUCUUUCUGACGCGUGUCCUGCUACUUAUCGAUUUCUGCGGGUUUGCCGUCGAUGCUGACAUGGGAAACCUGUCGGUGGGGCGUGCAGUAAUGGCAGGGCGAAUGCCCGUCCGCUCAUACGCUGGAGGGGAGUUUCAUCCAGCACAGCGCGAGCGGCCCGUGGGGAGGCGAGCAGGAUGGCACGUGUUAGGCGCUUGCGCGGACCUAUCGUGGUAUUGGAGCAUUAUGUUCCGACCGACUUUU